GUUUCACUAUCCAAGCUUACCGGAUGAAAGUGGAAGAGGCAUUUGAGUGGGUUGUUUCACAAUGUUAUUGAUUUUUUGUUUCACUAUCAAAGCUUACCGGAGAAUGAAUUGUAGUUUUUCUUGUCUUUCUAUCCUGAAGCGAAGGCAUGGUGUUCUUUUUGGGUCAAUGGCAAAAAUCUCGUAAUGUGUGUAUAUUGCUGUUCACCAUCGUAUUGUUGCUGUUCAUUUUUGUUUUCCGACAUUGCGGCUUUGCUAUUUUAAGAAUUUUACCUCUUCUUCCAGAUAUGGAGGAUUUCUUUCGGCUGGUUAUAUCCUGUUUCCCUAUUAAUGCGACAGAACAAUUGCU
rnacentral:lncRNA from 1 species